rnacentral:rRNA from 1 species
GAGGAAAAGAAACCAACAGGGAUUGCCUCAGUAACGGCGAGUGAGCGGCACAGCUCAAUUUGAAAUCUGGCCUCACGGUCCGAGUUGUAAUUUGUAGAGGAUGCUUUUGGCGAGGUGCUUUCCGAGUUCCCUGGAACGGGACGCCAUAGAGGGUGAGAGCCCCGUACGGUAAGACCACCGAGCCUCUGUAAAGCUCCUUCGACGAGUCGAGUAGUUUGGGAAUGCUGCUCUAAAUGGGAGGUGUACGUCUUCUAAAGCUAAAUACCGGCCAGAGACCGAUAGCGCACAAGUAGAGUGAUCGAAAGAUGAAAAGCACUUUGAAAAGAGGGUUAAAAAGUACGUGAAAUUGUUGAAAGGGAAGCAUUCAUGACCAGACUUGGGCUUGGUUGAACAUCCGGCGUUCUCGCCGGUGCACUCUGCCAGUCCAGGCCAGCAUCAGUUUGCCCCGGGGGACAAAGGCGGUGGGAAUGUGGCUCCCUUCGGGGAGUGUUAUAGCCCGCCGUGUAAUGCCCUGGGGCGGACUGAGGAACGCGCUCGGC